AAAGUAGCUUACCACUAAAGCAUUCGACCUACACUCGAACGACAUUACUAAUGCUAAUCUUUUUGA
rnacentral:tRNA from 1 species